UACGAAGGGGGCUAGCGUUGUUUGGAAUUACUGGGACUAAAGCGCACGUAGGCGGUCCGCUAAGUCAUGUGUGAAAUCCCCCGGCUCAACCGGGGAAUGGCGCCUGAUACUGGCGGACUCGAGAUCGGUAGGGGUGAGUGGAACUCCAGGUGGAGCGGUGAAAUGCGUAGAUAUCUGGAGGAACACCGGUGGCGAAAGCGACUCACUGGACCGACACUGACGCUGAGGUGCGAAAGCUAGGGUAGCAAACGGG
rnacentral:rRNA from 1 species